rnacentral:rRNA from 1 species
UACGGAGGGGGCUAGCGUUGUUCGGAAUUACUGGGCGUAAAGCGCACGUAGGCGGCUUUGUAAGUUAGAGGUGAAAGCCCGGGGCUCAACUCCGGAAUUGCCUUUAAGACUGCAUCGCUAGAAUUGUGGAGAGGUAAGUGGAAUUCCGAGUGUAGAGGUGAAAUUCGUAGAUAUUCGCAAGAACACCAGUGGCGAAGGCGGCUCACUGGCCCGAUACUGACGCUGAGGCACGAAAGCGUGGGGAGCGAACAGG